rnacentral:piRNA from 1 species
UGAUGAUGAGAAUGCUGUGUGCGCAGC